CAGCAGGACGGGUGGCCAUGGAAGUGUGAAUCCGCCAAAGAAGUGUGUAACAACUCACCUACCGAAUUCGACUAGCUCGGAAAAAUGGAUAGCGGUUUGAGCUCCAGGCCCAUACCUGACCGUCUCAAUUACGCACUUUUUUUUCGGAAAAGGUGUAAUGAACGUUGAGACGGGUAGGAAGGUCGCGACAGUGUUGCUUUGAAGAGUUUUGAGCGUGAGCUCGCUCGGAGCCGCUGUUGGUGCAGAUCUUGGUGGUAGUAGCAAAUAUUCAAGUGAGAACCUUGAAGGCUGAAGUGGAGCAAGGUUCCAUGUGAACAGCAGUUGGACAUGGGUCAGUCGAUCCUAAGAAAACGGCGAAAGCUUGUUCGAAUUUGCGACAUGAAUUGUAAGACUGAAUAAUUAUUUGUGUGUGUGUUGUGGUGGAGGCGAUUGUGUCGUCACCAGUUGUUGUUGUGUGCAGUUGUCGUAUGUUUUCGAAAGGGAAUCCGGUUGAUAUUCCGGAACCGAGUAACGGAGAC
rnacentral:ncRNA from 1 species